UUGCUCAGUCCAACUAUUCCACCAAAGAAUAAUCAACGUUUCUAGCCUGUAAAGACAAAGUUAAUUUCCUCCACAUUCUCGUUGGUUUGGUAAUCACGAUGGCUGCUGCCUGAGCCUUGUAACUUUGAUCAAGGGCCUGACUGACACUGGCCCGCGGUGGCAGCAGCUGGCUGUCCGGCCCCACAGUAUGACCGCCUGUCUGGGUGUGCCCGAGGCGCUGACGCCCCGCGCCGAUGCCACCUUCACGGUCACCGUGGUGCCCGGGGAUGGAGUAGGACCUAAGUUGAUGACUGCUGUCAAGGAGGUUUUCAAGCGGCUGACCUCCUAGUGGAGUUUGAGGAGUUUCACCUGAGUGAGGUGCAGCACAUGGACAGCAACGAGAAGCUGCAGCAGGUGUUAGCCUCCAUGAAGACCAACAGGGUGUCCAUGUGUCCAUGAAAGGAAAGAUGAACACCCCCGUGGAGUUUAAAGGGGAGCUGGCUGGCUUUGAGAUGAAAAUCAGAGUGUGCCUGGAGUGAUCGAAUGUCUGAAGAUUAUCACCAGGGAGUUUGCCUUUCGACUACGCCACCAAGAAGGGUCACGGCAGUCCACAAGGUCAUCUGGUCCAGAACCCAUACCAGUUUGACGUGCUGGUGAUGCCCAACCUCUAUGUCAACAUCAUUGACAACCUGGCAGCUGGGCUGGUCGACGGGGCAGGAGUGGUCCCAGGAGAGAGCUAUAGUGCAGAGUACGCCGUGUUUGAGACUGUGUCCAGGAGUCUGCCUGAGAUCCAACUUAACCAGUCCGCUGCAAUCAUACACUAGAUACAUUGCAGACCCAAGCAUAGAUAAAAUGGCCUGAGAAAUGUAAUGGCCUCCGUCUCAGGGAGCGCGACACCCCUUUGCCCAGGCUGUGGGCAGGAACAUCGGCAACCCCACGGCCAUGCUGCUCAGCACUGCCAACAUGCUCCAUCACCUCAAGUGAGUGGGCACUGCUUCCAAUGGGAUUUGUGCGCGGGUGUGUGUGUGCACUAACCUCAACUGACUUUUGUGAUAGCUUGGAAUACCACUGCAACAUGUUGUCAGACGCUGUCCGGAGGGUCAUCAAACAGGCAAGAUGCGGCCCCGAGACCUGGGCGGUUGCAGCACAACUGGGGACUUUGUGCAAGCUGUUGUGGGGAACUUCCACCACCGACCAGCGUACUAAAGAGGUCCUGGUCCCCUGAACAGCCCUUUACCCUGCACUGGACGGCCAACCAAAUAUAAUCUGGAUAUAUUGAACCCCAUAAUCGCCAUAUAUCUCCUAAUAACUUAGCCACAACUGUUUUGCUCUCUGUCCCACUAAACUAAUUAUCCUUACAUCACUCUUGGCAGCUCUUGUUCCUCUUCUCCGCUUUUCACAUUCCUCAUAACACACUGUGUAUCCUCUGAGGGUUUCUGUUUCUCGAUUUGGCCAAAGCAAUUCAUUUUCUGCAUUAAUCUUUUAAAUUAAUUGUUUUUGAUCAAAUUGUCCAUUUAUGCUGCUGUGACCUUCUCUAUUUUCUCCCAGUCUUUUCCUUGCUGAACACUUUCUCCAACUCCAUGUCAACCAGUUCUUUUGUACUUCCUCUGCUGUUGGAUGCAGUCUUCUAUCAGCUCUACUACCUCUAUAGUGUUCUCUGUAUCUGUCGGCUACCACCACCUCUCUUUCCCUUUACUCUCCUGCUCUGCCUUCUCUCUACACUGUUUCCUUGUUUGUGCUGUGGACAUGCGUGUGAUUUUAUAUUAAUUUGAUCACUGCUAAUCUAGUCUUGCAGUCCACGCUGGUUGUGCUGGAGGUUGUUCAGCAGUAUUGAUCAAGCUGGUUUUGUGCCACGAUGACAAUUUACCAACACCAAAGCAAGUGAAAUCUUAUCACUGCAUAAGUGGACUUCGGGUCUUCCAUUUCACAGCAAUGAGUUGUGGCAGGCAUUAUAAAGUGCAUUGUUCAGAACUGUACGUGCAGUGUGUCCAUGGACAAAGGAUAACUGGCCUUUUGCAAUAACAGCCUGUCACGUCAAGAAAACCUGCUGUAGUUACUAAAAAAAAAAAAAACUGGACUGUUUCUCACAAACACACACCGCCACUCGUAAAAUCAGUGGGAUGCGGGGGUCAUUCCUGUGAAGGGAGACCAUUUUCAGUGUUUACAAUCAAUGUUUUCACAUUGUUGCGUUAGCAGGGAUGCUAACAAGCUGAACUGUGAAAUGGGCUAGCUUCACUGAACCCUAUUCACUCAUACUCAAUUCAUAAACCCAAGUUACUAAAAACUAAUGUCUUAAUAUUCUGUCCACUGUGUAUGCUGUAAAAUUCAGUGUAUCGUAGAGGUCACUAUCUUGGGAGCCCUUUGCUGUAGUUGUGACCUUGGGGAUCCAUUGUGUUUGUCUAUUCAGUCAAAGCUAAGCUUUUUCAUCAUUACAUUUCACAAACGAACAAGCCAUUGUUACCUGAGCCUAUGACCAGCUUUGCCUGAGUUCACAAGGGAAACCAUUUCAUCAUGUCAGACUAGUGACUUUUCUGUUUUUGUACUGUAUGUGCUAUAUGUCCGUUCCAUUAUAUAUUGGUUAUGAUGAUAUCAGAGUGGUGGCAUUGCUACUGGUGACUUCGACAGGCAUAUAUUGCUUUUUGGCAAGACACUACAUGACCAAAAGUAUAUGUGGACACCUGCUUGUCGAACAUCUCAUUCCAAAAUCAGGGGCAUUAAUAUGGAGUUGGUCCCCCUUUGCUGGUAUAACAGCCUCUACUCUGGAUGUUGGAACAUUUCUGCACAGCCCCAGACCAUUAUUCCUCCUCCACCAAACUUUAUAGUUGGUGCUAUGCAUUGGGGCAGGUAACAUUCGCCAAACCCUGAUUUGUCUGUCGGACUGCCAGAUGUUGAAGCAUGAUUUAUCACUCCUGAGAACACAUUUCCGUUACUCCAGAUUCCAAUGGCGGCGAGCUUUACACCACUCCAACCAACGCUUGGCAUUGCGCAUGGUGACCGUAGGCCUGUGUGCGGCUGCUCACCCAUGGAAACCCAUUUCAUGGAGCUCCCGACUAACAGUUUUU